rnacentral:rRNA from 1 species
GAUGAACGCUGGCGGCGUGCCUAAUACAUGCAAGUCGAGCGAACGGACGAGAAGCUUGCUUCUCUUAUGUUAGCGGCGGACGGGUGAGUAACACGUGGAGAACCUACCUAUAAGACGGGGAUAACUUCGGGAAACCGUAGCUAAUACCGGAUAAUAUUUUGAACCGCAUGGUUCAAAAGUGAAAGACGGACUUGCUGUCACUUAUAGAUGGAUCCGCGCUGCAUUAGCUAGUUGGUAAGGUAACGGCUUACCAAGGCAACGAUGCAUAGCCGACCUGAGAGGGUGAUCGGCCACACUGGACCUGAGAACCGGUCCAGCCUCCUCCGGGAGGCAGCAGUAGGGAAUCUUCCGCAUUGGGCGAAAUCCUGCCGGAGCAACGCCGCGUGAGUGAUGAAGGUCUUCGGAUCGUAAACCUCUGUUAUUAGGGAAGACCAUAUGUGUAAGUAACUGUGCACAUCUUGACGGUACCUAAUCAGAAAGCCACGGCUAACUACGUG